rnacentral:rRNA from 1 species
AAACAAAACCAAGCGACUUCGGUCGUUUUUUGUUGACUCAGAAUAACUAAGCUGAUCGCAUGGUCUUGCACCGGCGACGUGUCUUUCAAGUAUCUGCCUUAUCAACUUUCGAUGGUAGUGUAUCUGACUACCAUGGUGGUGACGGGUAACGGAGGAUAAGGGUUUGACUCCGGAGAAGGGGCCUGAGAAAUGGCCACUACGUCUAAGGAUGGCAGCAGGCGCGCAAAUUACCCACUCUCAGAACGAGGAGGUAGUGACGAAAAAUAACGAGACCGUUCUCUACGAGGCCGGUCAUCGGAAUGGGUACAAUCUAAACCCUUUAACGAGUAUCUAUGAGAGGGCAAGUCUGGUGCCAGCAGCCGCGGUAAUUCCAGCUCUCAAAAUGCAUAGAAUUAUUGCUGCGGUUAAAAAGCUCGUAGUUGGAUCUGUGCUGAGGACCUGGUCCACCUUCGGGUGCGUACUAGGCUCCACGGCUUUUCUGCCGGUUUUCCCGUCAUGGCUUUYAUCGGCUGUGGCGGGUGGCUGGUGAUUUUACUUUGAACAAAUCAGAGUGCUUCAAACAGGCGUUUAGCUUGAAUGUUUUUGCAUGGAAUAAUAGAAGAGGAUUUCGGUUCUAUUUUAUUGGUUUUAUAGACUGAAAUAAUGGUUAACAGAGACCAACGGGGGCAUUCGUACCGCUGCGUGAGAGGUGAAAUUCUUGGACCGCAGCGAGACGAACUACAGCGAAAGCAUUUGCCAAGAAGGUCUUCAUUAAUCAAGAACGAAAGUCAGAGGUUCGAAGGCGAUCAGAUACCGCCCUAGUUCUGACCGUAAACGAUGCCAACUAGCGAUCUGCCGGUGGAAUUUUCGCCCUGGUAGGGAGCUUCCCGGAAACGAAAGUCUUCCGGUUCCGGGGGAAGUAUGGUUGCAAAGCUGAAACUUAAAGGAAUUGACGGAAGGGCACCACCAGGAGUGGAGCCUGCGGCUUAAUUUGACUCAACACGGGGAAACUCACCCGGCCCGGACACCAUAAGGAUUGACAGAUUGAUAGCUUUUUCAUGAUUUGGUGGAUGGUGGUGCAUGGCCGUUCUUAGUUCGUGGAGCGAUUUGUCUGGUUUAUUCCGAUAACGAGCGAGACUCUAGCCUACUAAAUAGUCUGCACAUUGCUUCUGUGAUGCAGUACUUCUUAGAGGGAUUUUCGGUGUACAGCCGCACGAGAUUGAGCAAUAACAGGUCUGUGAUGCCCUUAGAUGUCCGGGGCUGCACGCGCGCUACACUGGCGAAAUCAGCGUGCUUGUCCUUGCUCGAAAGAGCUUGGUAAACCAAUGAAAAUUUGCCGUGAUUGGGAUCGGAAAUUGCAAUUAUUUUCCGUGAACGAGGAAUUCCAAGUAAAUGCGAGUCAUCUUUUUGCC